GACGAACGCUGGCGGCGUGCCUAAUACAUGCAAGUAGGACGCACAGCCUAUACCGUAGCUUGCUACACCAUAGGCUGUGAGUUGCGAACGGGUGAGUAACGCGUAGGUAACCUGCCUAUUAGAGGGGGAUAACUAUUGGAAACGAUAGCUAAUACCGCAUAACAGUAUGUAACACAUGUUAGAUGCUUGAAAGAUGCAAUUGCAUCGCUAGUAGAUGGACCUGCGUUGUAUUAGCUAGUAGGUAGGGUAAUGGCCUACCUAGGCAACGAUACAUAGCCGACCUGAGAGGGUGAUCGGCCACACUGGGACUGAGACACGGCCCAGACUCCUACGGGAGGCAGCAGUAGGGAAUCUUCGGCAAUGGGGGGAACCCUGACCGAGCAACGCCGCGUGAGUGAAGAAGGUUUUCGGAUCGUAAAGCUCUGUUGUUAAGGAAGAACGAGUGUGAGAAUGGAAAGUUCAUACUGUGACGGACUAACCAGAAAGG
rnacentral:rRNA from 1 species